UACGUAGGGGGCUAGCGUUGUCCGGAAUCACUGGGCGUAAAGCGCACGUAGGCGGCUUUCUAAGUCAGGGGUGAAAUCCUGGAGCUCAACUCCAGAACUGCCUUUGAUACUGGAGAGCUUGAGUCCGGAAGAGGCGAGUGGAACUCCGAGUGUAGAGGUGAAAUUCGUAGAUAUUCGGAAGAACACCAGUGGCGAAGGCGGCUCACUGGUCCGGUACUGACGCUGAUGUGCGAAAGCGUGGGGAGCAAACAGG
rnacentral:rRNA from 1 species